GAGACACCUCUCUGGGGCAAGACUUGCUUCAAUGGGGCUUUGGUGCUCACUGAGUCUGCCCCCUGAGUGUGUCCCU
rfam:Myotis lucifugus cont2.43598, whole genome shotgun sequence.